rnacentral:lncRNA from 1 species
GCCUAGCGAAGUUGACCGCUUCGAUCAUUUGUUGAGUCAACCGAAAUUCCCCGGUCACCUGGCGUUUAAGACUUUGUAUGGGAUUUCCUUGGCACCUUCAAAGGCUAUAGGUAUUAACUCACUUCUUUGAGUUGAAUUGUAUUACGGGGAAGCGGCACCCCUUGAACAUGGCCAUCCCCUGCGUGGAAGAUAGAAGCACGACCUCCUCCGUUCCGCAGUUAUUGAGGGGCACCUUACCAUUUAAUGAAUAAUCGUAAUAAAACUUAGUAAGGAGUUUCCGAUUCUUUGUAACCGUAGUUUCGAUUGCCUCGUAAGUCCUUCCCUAUUGAUCGGAUUUAAGGAGCCUUAAAAGGCAUUAUUUCUGCAUCCUGUUCUAUGAACAACGAACUACAACCAAUGACAUCCUCUCCCCAUAGUCGAGCUCUUCCAUCCUCUCGACCAUUCCCUCUCUUUCAGCGUCAUCUGCUUCAUUUGAAACCGCCGCUUCCGCUUCAAGAACAGGGUGCCCCGCUCCCGACGCCCUCCCUUUCUCAAUCGAUUUCACCGAUUCCUGCAUUGCCCACUCCAGUUGUUGCUUUUCUUUCGUAAGAGAAUGGCUGCUUAAGCUUCAUACUAUAGUAGUGCCAGGAGGAACGAAGUAGUUUGCCUAAAAGGAUAGGAGCAUAGCGCAGAGGAGUAUGAGGCCACAUCCCCGACAGCAGUAGCGGUGGGUCACCCCGAAUGAAAUCCAUAAGGUAAAUUGACCCUAUAGUCAUAUCCCGCUAUUUCAUCUCUUUAUUAAGCCAUUGAGCGUAAAGGAAGAAGCUUUGAAAGCGAAACAGCUGGUAGCCCCGCAUCCCUGGAAGGAGUUAUAGCUGCCUAGUCACAGAAUAGAAAAAGAAGGCCGGCCCUUAUAAGCCCAUCUUCGAUUGCCCUUGGUUCCCGGUCCGCCGCUUCUCCAGACGUAGUGGCAAGGUUUUCGACUAUACUACGAGGGUCAGAGGUUAAAACGCAGGAAGGUUCUGUUUUAGGUCUUUUCGCUGUAAGGGAAGGUUCUGAGUCCAGUCCAGUAGCGGUUGCCAGCCUAGCCGUUUGCAUAUCUUCCUAAUAGGA